GUUGAAUAGUGUAAUAGGAGCCUGGUGUUGUGAGAGGAGAGUGGUCCUGGUUGAAUAGUGUAAUAGGGCCUGGUGUUGUGAGAGGAGAGUGGUCCUGGUUGAAUAGUGUAAUAGGAGCCUGGUGUUGUGAGAGGAGAGUGGUCCUGGUUGAAUAGUGUAAUAGGGCCUGGUGUUGUUGUCUCACUAAGGGGCCUAAUGGAUGAUAGAAUGGUCUGGAACACAUGCAUGUACACACAAACACACUCGGUCAUCCCUCUCUUUCUGUGAGUAAUUAUCACACACGCUCAACGCCCUCUCUUUCUCCCACGGUCAGCUCACACUGUGGACCAGGCAUCCUAAAUCCCCCUUAAUGUAGUCUAACUAUUGGCAAGUCUACAGUGUAUAUCUCUAAAACAGUCAGGUCUACAUAUCGAUCUUCAGUCAGGUCUCUCUAUCUAUCUACAGUCAGGUCUCUCUAUCUAUCUACAGUCAGGUCUCUCUCUCUAUCUACAGUCAGGUCUCUCUAUCUAUCUACAGUCAGGUCUCUCUAUCUAUCUACAGUCAGGUCUCUCUAUCUAUCUACAGUCAGGUCUCUCUAUCUAUCUACAGUCAGGUCUCUCUAUCUAUCUACAGUCAGGUCUCUCUAUCUAUCUACAGUCAGGUCUCUAUAUCUAUCUACAGUCAGGUCUCUCUAUCUAUCUACAGUCAGGUCUCUCUAUCUAUCUACAGUCAGGUCUCUCUAUCUAUCUACAGUCAGGUCUCUAUAUCUAUCUACAGUCAGGUCUCUAUAUCUAUCUACAGUCAGGUCUCUCUAUCUAUCUACAGUCAGGUCUCUCUAUCUAUCUACAGUCAGGUCUCUAUAUCUAUCUACAGUCAGGUCUCUAUAUCUAUCUACAGUCAGGUCUCUAUAACUAUCUACAGUCAGGUCUAUCUCUCUGUCAAUCACUAUAAGAUGAUUCAGUUGCGCCUCAUUACCCUGAGGGCCACUGGCAGGUCAGUCUGCUCAUUAAGC